rnacentral:rRNA from 1 species
CACGUAGGGGGCAAGCGUUGUCCGGAUUUACUGGGCGUAAAGCGCACGUAGGCGGCUUCUUAAGUCGGUGGUGAAAUCCUGGAGCUCAACUCCAGAACUGCCUUCGAUACUGGGAAGCUCGAGUCCGGGAGAGGUGAGUGGAACUGCGAGUGUAGAGGUGAAAUUCGUAGAUAUUCGCAAGAACACCAGUGGCGAAGGCGGCUCACUGGCCCGGUACUGACGCUGAGGUGCGAAAGCGUGGGGAGCAAACAGG